rnacentral:tRNA from 1 species
GUCCCUGUAGCUUAUAGAAAGCAUGACACUGAAGAUGUCAAGAUGGCUGCCCCACACACCCAGGGACA